AGCCAUACCGCGUGGGUGAAGAAGGCCUUCGGGUUGUAAAGCCCUUUUGUUGGGAAAGAAAUCCAGCUGGCUAAUACCCGGUUGGGAUGACGGUACCCAAAGAAUAAGCACCGGCUAACUUCGUGCCAGCAGCCGCGGUAAUACGAAGGGUGCAAGCGUUACUCGGAAUUACUGGGCGUAAAGCGUGCGUAGGUGGUCGUUUAAGUCCGUUGUGAAAGCCCUGGGCUCAACCUGGGAACUGCAGUGGAUACUGGGCGACUAGAGUGUGGUAGAGGGUAGCGGAAUUCCUGGU
rnacentral:rRNA from 1 species